CAAUAGGACGAAAUAGAAAUAUAACAUUAUCUGCAACAAAUCAUAUCAAAGAAAGAUGUUCUCAUUCUAAAUCAAUUUGUUAGAUCAGAUGGUUGUAUAUUGCCACGUAGAAUUACAGGUCUUUGUAAAGUACAACAAAAAAGAAUUAGUUCAUUAAUUCAAAUGGCUCAAUAUGCAGGUUAAGAAUCAUGUUUACAUCUAAAUUAAUAAAGACUCCAUGGUAUACGAUUCAAAAAAGAUACGUAUCAAAAGGAACCACAAUUAUAAAAAAAGAACAUGGAGAACACGAAAUUUCGAAAAUUCGAAACAUUGGAAUUUUGGCACAUAUUGAUGCUGGAAAAACUACUACCACAGAAAGAAUGCUAUAUUAUUCGGGUCUUAUUAAACAUAUGGGAGAAGUUCAUCAUGGAAAUACAGUAACAGAUUAUAUGGAUCAGGAACGUCAACGCGGUAUAACAAUAACCUCUGCAGCGGUGACAUUUGAAUGGAAAAAUUAUUGUAUUAAUUUAAUCGAUACCCCAGGACAUAUUGACUUCACAAUGGAAGUGGAACAAACUUUAAGGGUAUUAGAUGGAGCAGUAGUUAUAUUAGAUGGAAGUGCAGGUGUCGAGGCUCAAACAUUGACAGUGUGUAGACAAGCUGAUAAAUAUGAUAUACCAAGAAUUAUUUAUAUAAAUAAAAUGGAUAGAAUAGAUGCUAAUUUUGAUACUAGUCUAAAAUCUAUUGAAUCUAAAUUGCACACAGAAGUUUUGCCUGUACAAUUUCCAAUUAAAGAAAAAGGAAUUUUAGAAGGAAUCGUAGAUACUAUUUCUUUAGAAAAAAUUAUAUUUGAUAAAAAAGACAUGGGCAAGAAACUUUCUAGAUUCAAAUUAACUGAAGAUAAGGAUAAAGCUUUAUGGGAAAUGGCAAAUGAAAAGCGUAGAGAUUUAACUGAUAAAUUGUCCAAUAUGGAUGACAAAUUGGCUGAUACAAUUAUAGAACAGGAAUCUUUAGAUGCAAUAACACCACAAAUGCUGGUUGAUUCUUUAUACAGGGCAACCAUAAAUAGAAAAGGUGUUCCUGUACUUUUAGGUAGUUCUUAUAAAAAUAUAGGAGUACAACCUUUAAUGGACAGUAUAUUACUAUAUUUACCAUCACCCAAUGCAAGUAAAUAUUCUAAGUAUUAUCAUUGUUUUGAUAAUAAAUUAUGUGCCAGAGCAUUUAAAGUCGUUCAUGAUAAACAAAAAGGACCGAUCACAUUUUUUAGAAUUUAUAAUGGUAGCAUAGAGAAAGGUACGAAAUUAUAUAAUGUUCGUACAGAAAAAAAAGAACAAGUAGGAAAAUUGUAUAUCGCAUACGCUGAUGAAUACGAAGAAAUAAAAAAAAUUUCACAGGGCAAUAUUGCAGCGAUAACAGGAUUAACAAGUACCUCAGCUGGUGAUUUAAUAUCAGUAGGAUCAACAGCGAUAGAAGAAGCAGAAAAAAAACUGAAAGCGCAAAAAGAUGUUAAACCAGAAGAUGUGGAUAAAAUAUUUGAUUGCAAUUCAAAGACAGAACCAGUUUUUUUCUGUUCGAUAGAAGCACCAUCGUUAUCUAUGCAAACAGCUUUAGAAAAGGCUCUCCAAGAACUUGAAAGAGAAGAUCCAAGUUUGAGUGUUACUCAAAAUGAAGAGACUGGUCAGAUUGUACUUGGAGGUAUGGGUGAAUUACAUCUCGAAAUUAUUAAAGAAAGAAUUAAUACGGAAUAUAAAAUCGAUGCCGAUUUAGGCCCCUUACAAAUUUCCUAUAGAGAGACUAUCAAGGAACCUAUUCAAGAUACUUUUUCGAGUGAAUAUAAAAUAGGAGAUAUUAAUACAAAAAUUACAAUAACAAUGUCAUUAAUACCAAAUUAUGAAGAUAAAGAGACUUUCUUAUUAGACAAAUCCAUGGAUUAUAUUAAUACUAAAAUACCAAAGAAUAUAAUGAAAGUUGUGAAAAAUAGUGUUAAAUCAGUUCUUUUAAACGGACCAAAAUUAUCUUAUCCUAUCUUAAAUAUGGGUAUUAAACUGCAUAAUUUAGAAUAUGGACCAGGUGCUACCUCGUCGAUAAUUAAUGCUGCUGUUUCACAAUGUAUUAGACAGUUAAUGAAGAGUGCUGGCGUUGCUCUUUUAGAACCGAUAAUGCGAUUGGAGAUUGUAGUUCCUGAAGAUUAUUUAAGCGUUAUCCUCAAAGACUUGGCAAAAAGGCGCGCAGAAGUAAAGUGCAUUGAUGUCUUUAAACAAAACAAGAUAGUCUACUGUCUUGCCCCAUUAGCCGAAUUAUUAGGAUAUUCAACGACGGUGAGGAUAAUUUCAUCAGGACAUGCAACGUUUACGUUGGAAUUCGAUCACUACGAAGUAAUGGAUUCAGCCAGUGAAGCAGAUGCGAUUAAAAGAGUAACUGGUUUUUAUUAACUCUUUUCAAAAUCAUACGAUAUCAUUCAAAUCAAAUAUUCGUUGUAUUUUUAAGAAUUUAAUUGUACAAAGAUAGAUUUAUGAAAAUUAUUUACAAAUUAAUGCGUUUAAUAAUUAAAAUCAUGAAUGAAUCAAUUUUUUUCUCAAUCUCUAUCUCUCCGUAAAGAGAUUUCCAUACAAAGUAAUCGGUACGAUACACAAAAUUAAAAACACAUUAUUAUUCUUGGACAAAAUUACAUACUCGAUUGUUCCUUUAUUCAUUCGAUCUAAUCAAAAUAUAUUGCAGCAUUUAUCAAUGGUGCUUUACAAUUCUUCUUUCUUAUUUACGAUCAUCGAUCGCGGCCGCCGAUUACGUGGCUGAAAUCGAGCAGCUUGUAAAAAUGGUAUCUUUAUCUAAAAAUUUAUACAUAGUAUAUUUAUAUAUAAUAAUAUAUAUAUAUAUAUAUAUAA
rnacentral:misc_RNA from 1 species